UUGCUCCGCGCGCCGCCCCGACACGAAUGCCUGACGCCGCCCCUGACAGGCGGGGUCGAGGCCGGCGCCCGGGGUCAGGUUGGGUCACGUCACGCGUGCCAGAGUGACCCGAGAGCUGACGGAGUUGGCGGUGGUGCGUGUAUUGACAGCGAGGGCGACCUGAGGACGUUUACCGGAGUGAACUCGCCGAGUGGAGCGCCGGGCGCAGAAAUAUAUCGACGCUUCAGCCAAUUCGCCUCGUCCCUGCACGUCAGAAAUGGACGCUCAGUCUCACAAGUCCGACCCCGAGGAAGAAACGGCCUCGGCUGAGCAAGAUGCUACGGAAGCUCCAGGACCACCAGCCGGUGCCAAAAGCAGGUCUCCUGAUUCGGCAGAGGACACAGCCGACAGUCAGGCUACCACCGCCGCCCGCGCGGCCGCGGCCUGUCCAGGCGCGCCGCGACUCUCCAGACCAGCAUUAGUGCUGGCCCUCGCCAGACGACACCGUAUACGUAGACGCCGCGCUGCCAUCCGCCGGGGACUGCUUGUUGCCAUCCAGCAGCUGGUCCAGAAUGACCGCCAGUUCCUGGAGCUGGAGCAGCGCAUUGUGGCUGCCAUCGAGGGAAUGGUGGCCCUGCAGGAGGCCGGCCUGGCGAGUCGGGACCGCCUCGCAGACGCACUGAUCGAGGCCAUCGCUCGUAGACGUCCGUGAUAGGCACAGAGCACCGAGAAGCGACAUGGGUAUAGAUCCGAGCGUCGGACCUGUUAUUCCUUUGUUUUAUGCUCGAGCCGAGGCAUUGGCUCUUCUAAUCUAACGUACUCGAGAUGGUUAUGAUUUUAUUUUUGAAUAAAACCAGCGUCCUGCUUGUU